GGCCCCAUCGUCUAGAGGUGAGGACACCGGCCUCUCACGCCGGAGACAGGGGUUCGAUUCCCCUUGGGGCUGCCA
rnacentral:tRNA from 1 species